CCUACGGGAGGCAGCAGUGGGGAAUAUUGGACAAUGGGCGCAAGCCUGAUCCAGCCAUGCCGCGUGAGUGAUGAAGGCCUUAGGGUUGUAAAGCUCUUUCAGUAGGGAAGCGGUACCUACAGAAGAAGCCCCGGCUAACUUCGUGCCAGCAGCCGCGGUAAUACGAAGGGGGCUAGCGUUGUUCGGAUUUACUGGGCGUAAAGCGCACGUAGGCGGAUUGGUCAGUUAGGGGUGAAAUCCCAGAGCUCAACUCUGGAACUGCCUUUAAUACUGCCAAUCUAGAGUCCGGAAGAGGUGAGUGGAACUCCUAGUGUAGAGGUGGAAUUCGUAGAUAUUAGGAAGAACACCAGUGGCGAAGGCGGCUCACUGGUCCGGACUGACGCUGAGGUGCGAAAGCGUGGGGAGCAAACAGGAUUAGAUACCCUAGUAGUC
rnacentral:rRNA from 1 species